rnacentral:rRNA from 1 species
UGGGGAAUAUUGGACAAUGGGCGAAAGCCUGAUCCAGCCAUGCCGCGUGUGUGAAGAAGGUCUUCGGAUUGUAAAGCACUUUAAGUUGGGAGGAAGGGCAGUAAGCGAAUACCUUGCUGUUUUGACGUUACCGACAGAAUAAGCACCGGCUAACUCUGUGCCAGCAGCCGCGGUAAUACAGAGGGUGCAAGCGUUAAUCGGAAUUACUGGGCGUAAAGCGCGCGUAGGUGGUUCGUUAAGUUGAAUGUGAAAGCCCCGGGCUCAACCUGGGAACUGCAUCCAAAACUGGCGAGCUAGAGUAGGGCAGAGGGUGGUGGAAUUUCCUGUGUAGCGGUGAAAUGCGUAGAUAUAGGAAGGAACACCAGUGGCGAAGCCGACCACCUGGGCUCAUACUGACACUGAGGUGCGAAAGCGUGGGGAGCAAACAGG